GUUAAGCGACUAAGCGUACACGGUGGAUGCCCUGGCAGUCAGAGGCGAUGAAGGACGUGCUAAUCUGCGAUAAGCGUCGGUAAGGUGAUAUGAACCGUUAUAACCGGCGAUUUCCGAAUGGGGAAACCCAGUGUGUUUCGACACACUAUCAUUAACUGAAUCCAUAGGUUAAUGAGGCGAACCGGGGGAACUGAAACAUCUAAGUACCCCGAGGAAAAGAAAUCAACCGAGAUUCCCCCAGUAGCGGCGAGCGAACGGGGAGCAGCCCAGAGCCUGAAUCAGUGUGUGUGUUAGUGGAAGCGUCUGGAAAGGCGCGCGAUACAGGGUGACAGCCCCGUACACAAAAAUGCACAUGCUGUGAGCUCGAUGAGUAGGGCGGGACACGUGGUAUCCUGUCUGAAUAUGGGGGGACCAUCCUCCAAGGCUAAAUACUCCUGACUGACCGAUAGUGAACCAGUACCGUGAGGGAAAGGCGAAAAGAACCCCGGCGAGGGGAGUGAAAAAGAACCUGAAACCGUGUACGUACAAGCAGUGGGAGCACGCUUAGGCGUGUGACUGCGUACCUUUUGUAUAAUGGGUCAGCGACUUAUAUUCUGUAGCAAGGUUAACCGAAUAGGGGAGCCGAAGGGAAACCGAGUCUUAACUGGGCGUUAAGUUGCAGGGUAUAGACCCGAAACCCGGUGAUCUAGCCAUGGGCAGGUUGAAGGUUGGGUAACACUAACUGGAGGACCGAACCGACUAAUGUUGAAAAAUUAGCGGAUGACUUGUGGCUGGGGGUGAAAGGCCAAUCAAACCGGGAGAUAGCUGGUUCUCCCCGAAAGCUAUUUAGGUAGCGCCUCGUGAAUUCAUCUCCGGGGGUAGAGCACUGUUUCGGCAAGGGGGUCAUCCCGACUUACCAACCCGAUGCAAACUGCGAAUACCGGAGAAUGUUAUCACGGGAGACACACGGCGGGUGCUAACGUCCGUCGUGAAGAGGGAAACAACCCAGACCGCCAGCUAAGGUCCCAAAGUCAUGGUUAAGUGGGAAACGAUGUGGGAAGGCCCAGACAGCCAGGAUGUUGGCUUAGAAGCAGCCAUCAUUUAAAGAAAGCGUAAUAGCUCACUGGUCGAGUCGGCCUGCGCGGAAGAUGUAACGGGGCUAAACCAUGCACCGAAGCUGCGGCAGCGACACUAUGUGUUGUUGGGUAGGGGAGCGUUCUGUAAGCCUGUGAAGGUGUACUGUGAGGUAUGCUGGAGGUAUCAGAAGUGCGAAUGCUGACAUAAGUAACGAUAAAGCGGGUGAAAAGCCCGCUCGCCGGAAGACCAAGGGUUCCUGUCCAACGUUAAUCGGGGCAGGGUGAGUCGACCCCUAAGGCGAGGCCGAAAGGCGUAGUCGAUGGGAAACAGGUUAAUAUUCCUGUACUUGGUGUUACUGCGAAGGGGGGACGGAGAAGGCUAUGUUGGCCGGGCGACGGUUGUCCCGGUUUAAGCGUGUAGGCUGGUUUUCCAGGCAAAUCCGGAAAAUCAAGGCUGAGGCGUGAUGACGAGGCACUACGGUGCUGAAGCAACAAAUGCCCUGCUUCCAGGAAAAGCCUCUAAGCAUCAGGUAACAUCAAAUCGUACCCCAAACCGACACAGGUGGUCAGGUAGAGAAUACCAAGGCGCUUGAGAGAACUCGGGUGAAGGAACUAGGCAAAAUGGUGCCGUAACUUCGGGAGAAGG
rnacentral:rRNA from 1 species